UUUCGAAUCAUUCACAAUGGGCGAAAGCCUGAUGGUGCGACGCCGCGUGAGGGAUGAAGGUCUUCGGAUUGUAAACCUCUGUCACUGGGGAAGAAACGCUAUACGUAAACAGCGUAUAGCCUGACUUAACCCGGAGAGGAAGCAGUGGCUAACUCUGUGCCAGCAGCCGCGGUAAUACAGAGACUGCAAGCGUUAUUCGGAUUCACUGGGCGUAAAGGGUGCGCAGGUGGCCUUGUGUGUCAGAUGUGAAAGCCUGGAGCUUAACUCCAGAAUUGCGUCUGAAACUACAAGGCUAGAGCAUUGGAGAGGGUAGCGGAAUUCAUGGUGUAGCAGUGAAAUGCGUAGAUAUCAUGAGGAACACCAGAGGCGAAGGCGGCUACCUGGACAAUUGCUGACACUC
rnacentral:rRNA from 1 species